ensembl:lncRNA
CACACAGCUGGGUGCUACUUGGGCUGCAUAACAAAGGAGCACAGACUGGGUGGUUUAAACUAGAAAAAUUUAUCUUCUUACAAUGCUGGAGGCCAGAAGACUGCAUUCAGAGUGUCAGCAAGGGCGAGCUUUGCAUCCUUCUACAGAAAGAGGCCCAUGGAGCCAGGGACACAAUUGUGUCUUCCUGCCUGACCCUGGGAUGUCACACAACAGGUGCUCCCUAAAUACUCUGUAAUCCCAGGCAGGUAUGAAGAAAUGUGACUUAUUUCUCCUUUAUCACCACCCUCCUCCCGCCCCCACCACCACUUCCUGAGCAAAUGUCCAGAGUGCAAGGGGAGCCGUGACCUCCAUUGGUGUCCCCUUGACAACUG